GGGGGUGACCUGGCUUCGACGUGGGUCACGAAACCUUCGGGGCAUGCCGAGGUGCAGAGUUCCUCGUAAAUCCAGCUGCACACUAUAGUUGCCAACGACGACAACUACGCCCUAGCGGCUUAAUCCCCGCUAGUCUUUCACCUACGUUUCGCCUGUGGGCCGGGAUGAAAGAUCGAUCACACAGGAUCGCGCCGCUUCGUGCCUGUUGGAGUAGCGCUAAAACAUAGCAGGCUCAGCUCAGCGAGGAUCCUGUCUGCCGGAGACCGCUGAGUCAAAUCAAAGACAGACUACGCAUGUAGAACCGGAGCUGUAGGACUUGCGGACGGCGGUUCGAUCCCGCCCACCUCCACCA
rnacentral:tmRNA from 1 species